rnacentral:ncRNA from 2 species
AAAAACUUGUCGGGGUGCUGUUUUCAGCUGAGAAAUACCCGUUGAACCUGAUUCAGUUAAUACUGACGGAGGGAACAAGCCAACGCUUUUG